rnacentral:rRNA from 1 species
UCGGCAUACUGCUCAGUAACACGUGGAUAACCUGCCCUAUCGUCUGGAAUAACCUCGGGAAACUGAGAAUAAGGCCGGAUGGUUCACAAUGCCUGGAACGGUUUGUGAAUCAAGGUAGGAUGGGUCUGCGGCGUAUCAGGUUGUAGGGGGUGUAAAGGACCCCCUAGCCUUCGACGCGUACGGGUGUUGGGAGACAUAGCCCGGAGAUGGAUUCUGAGACACGAAUCCAGACCCUACGGGGUGCAGCAGGCGCGAAAACUUCACACUGCAGGAAACUGUGAUGAGGGAACUCCUAGUGCAUGCACUAUGUGUAUGUAGAUCCUACUCUUAACAAGUAGAGGGAAAGGGCUGGGAAAGACCGGUGCCAGCCGCCGCGGUAAUACCGGCAGCUCAAGUGGUCGUCGCUUUUAUUGGGCCUAAAACGUCCGUAGCCUGUUUGGUAAAUCUGUGGGUAAAUCAAUCCGCUCAACGGAUUGAAUUCUGCAGAGACUGCCAGACUAGGGACCGGGAGAGGUGUGGGGUACUCGAGGGGUAGGGGUAAAAUCCUGUCAUCCUUCGAGGACCACCGGUUGCGAAGGCGCCACACUGGAACGGAUCCGACGGUCAGGGACGAAGCCUAGGGGCACGAACCGGAUUAGAUACCCGGGUAGUCCUAGGUGUAAACGCUGUGAACUUGGUGUCGGGGGUCCGCAAGGGGUCCCCGGUGCCGGAGUGAAGAUGUUAAGUUCACUGCCUGGGGAGUACGGUCGCAAGGCUGAAACUUAAAGGAAUUGGCGGGGGAGCACUGCAACGGGAGGAGCGUGCGGUUUAAUU